GUAGGUGGCAAGCGUUGUCCGGAAUUAUUGGGCGUAAAGCGCGCGCAGGCGGUUCUUUAAGUCUGAUGUGAAAGCCCACGGCUCAACCGUGGAGGGUCAUUGGAAACUGGAGAACUUGAGUACAGAAGAGGAAAGCGGAAUUCCACGUGUAGCGGUGAAAUGCGUAGAGAUGUGGAGGAACACCAGUGGCGAAGGCGGCUUUCUGGUCUGUAACUGGCGCUGAGGCGCGAAAGCGUGGGGAGCAAACAGGAUUAGAUACCCUGGUAGUCCACGCCGUAAACGAUGAGUGCUAAGUGUUAGGGGGUUUCCGCCCCCCUUAGUGCUGCAGCUAACGCAUUAAGCACUCCGCCUGGGAGUACGGCCGCAAGGCUG
rnacentral:rRNA from 1 species